rnacentral:rRNA from 1 species
CCUACGGGAGGCAGCAGUGAGGAAUAUUGGUCAAUGGCCGGAAGGCUGAACCAGCCAUGCCGCGUGAAGGUCAGUGCCCUAUGGGCGUUAAACUUCUUUUGUGCGGGAGCAAUAAUGGUCACGUGUGGCCAGACGAGAGUACCGUACGAAUAAGCAUCGGCUAACUCCGUGCCAGCAGCCGCGGGAAUACGGGGGAUGCAAGCGUUAUCCGGAUUUAUUGGGUUUAAAGGGUGCGUAGGCGGGGAGGUAAGUCAGCGGUGAAAUGCCCCCGCUCAACGGGGUGAAGUGCCAUUGAUACUGGCGUGCUGGAAUGCGGAUGCAGUGGGAGGAAUGUGUGGUGUAGCGGUGAAAUGCAUAGAUAUCACACAGAACACCGAUUGCGAAGGCAUCUCACGAAUACGCGAUUGACGCUGAUGCACGAAAGCGUGGGUAUCAAACAGGAUUAGAUACCCUUGUAGUC